GUCUACGGCUAUACCACCCUGAACGUGCCCGAUCUUGUCUGAUCUCGGAAGCUAAGCAGGGUCGGGCCUGGUUAGUACUUCGAUGGGAGACCGCCUGGAAAUACCGGGUGCUGUAGGCU
ensembl:rRNA n-R5s151 nuclear encoded rRNA 5S 151